rnacentral:rRNA from 1 species
AUGAUGCCCACACUUAAUCUAGGAAUACAUAUUCUUGUUAUAUAUCUCAUUUUCCUAGCACAUCAAAUUCAAGGAGACCAACUUCUUCGAACCAAUGAAGAGACUGGGUAUCGACAUGUAUUUGGAUCAGGAUAUGACAAGGACACCCCUUAUAAAGCUGCACAUGCAACAUAUGCUGCUAGCUACUUUGGGCUUGUUGUUACUAUGGAUGUAUAUGGGUACAAUCUCAUUAAUGGCCAAGUGAGCACAACAAAAAUUAUAAUUGGUAACUUGGAGGAUGGCAAAUCCAAUGAGGAUGCAAUUUGGGUUGGAUGGCAAGUUUACCCAAAACACUAUGGCGAUUCACAUACUCGUUUCUUCACACUUUGGACCCCGAGAGACGCUUAUCGUACUACAGGGUGCUUUGACAUGGAGUGUCCUGGUUUUGAGCCAGCAUGGGGAGCAAGACUAAAACCGGGUGCAGUAAUAGAUCCAUCAUCGCAUCAAAAGAUUACAAUCAAAGUGCUUCAGGAUAGGAAAACUGGGGACUGGUGGAUCCACGCUGGAUUUAAUGGUUCUACAACAGUUAUUGGGCGUUACCCAGCAAAACUAUUCGACAAGUUAUCCAGAAAAGCGACUAAUAUUGCAAUGGGUGGUGUGGUUGGAGCGGUUGGUAGUACCCCAAGCCCUCCGAUGGGUAGUGGAUACUUUCCCUCCAGUAAAGCCGCUUCAAUCACCGGCAUUUCAUACAUUGGAGAAGAUGGAAAACUCAGACCGUUUGCCCUCAAUACAAUAAAAGUGGAGACUAAGAGCAGUUGUUACUCUGUCACACCUAUUACAAAUGACAAGUUCUCUUAUGGAGGGCCUGGAGGUUGCUCCACGCGUGCUUUUUAG